UUUGGGAGAUGAUGUAAACAAAAGGCCGAAUUGAAGUGCUCUGCCGCAGUUUGUUCUCAGCACGACACAAUGACAAAGCUCGACCGAAGCGUUUCUGAUCCCACA
ensembl:snoRNA Small nucleolar RNA SNORD89